GGGAUUGCCCUAGUAACGGCGAGUGAAGCGGCAACAGCUCAAAUUUGAAAUCCGGCGCACCCGCGCCCGAGUUGUAAUUUGCAGAGGGUGCUUUCGCGUUGACUGCGGCCUAAGUUCCUUGGAACAGGGCGUCACAGAGGGUGAGAACCCCGUACGUGGCCGCACGGAGCAACGCGGUGUAAAGCCCCUUCGACGAGUCGAGUUGUUUGGGAAUGCAGCUCUAAAUGGGAGGUAAAUUCCUUCUAAAGCUAAAUACCGGCCAGAGACCGAUAGCGCACAAGUAGAGUGAUCGAAAGAUGAAAAGCACUUUGGAAAGAGAGUCAAAAAGCACGUGAAAUUGUUGAAAGGGAAGCGCUUGCAGCCAGACUCGCCCGCGGACGUUUUCGCCCGCGGGCGGGCCAGCAUCAGUCGUGGCGGCCCGAUAAAGGCCCCGGGAACGUGGCUCCCUCCGGGGAGUGUUAUAGCCCGGGGCGCCAUGGGGCCAGCUCGCGACUGAGGUCCGCGCGCAUGCUAGGAUGCUGGCGUAAUGGCUGUAAGCGGCCCGUCUUGAAACACGGACCAAGGAGUCUAACAUCUAUGCGAGUGUUUGGGUGUCAAGCCCGGGCGCGCAAUGAAAGUGAACGGAGGUGGGAACCCCUCGGGGCGCACCAUCGACCGAUCCUGAUGUCUUCGGAUGGAUUUGAGUAAGAGCAUAGCUGUUGGGACCCGAAAGAUGGUGAACUAUGCCUGAAUAGGGUGAAGCCAGAGGAAACUCUGGUGGAGGCUCGCAGCGGUUCUGACGUGCAAAUCGAUCGUCAAAUUUGGGCAUAGGGGCGAAAGACUAAUCGAACUAUCUAGU
rnacentral:rRNA from 1 species